rnacentral:rRNA from 1 species
UACGUAGGGUGCAAGCGUUAAUCGGAAUUACUGGGCGUAAAGCGUGCGCAGGCGGUUUUGUAAGUCUGACGUGAAAUCCCCGGGCUUAACCUGGGAAUUGCGUUGGAGACUGCAAGGCUAGAAUCUGGCAGAGGGGGGUAGAAUUCUACGUGUAGCAGUGAAAUGCGUAGAGAUGUGGAGGAACACCGAUGGCGAAGGCAGCCCCCUGGGUCAAGAUUGACGCUCAUGCACGAAAGCGUGGGGAGCAAACGGG